rnacentral:rRNA from 1 species
ACUCAAUAGAUCCCAGGUAGUCCACGCCCUAAACGAUGUCUACUAGUUGUUGGUGGAGUAAAAUCCAUGAGUAAACGCAGCUAACGCGUGAAGUAGACCGCCUGGGGAGUACGGUCGCAAGAUUAAAACUCAAAGGAAUUGACGGGGGCCGCACAAGCGGUGGAUUAUGUGGAUUAAUUCGAUGCAACGCGAAAACCUUAACCUGGCCUUGACAUGCCACUAACGAAGCAGAGAUGCAUUAGGUGCCCGUAAGGGAAAGUGGACACAGGUGCUGCAUGGCUGUCGUCAGCUCGUGUCGUGAGAUGUUGGGUUAAGUUCCCGCAACGAGCGCAACCCUUGCCAUUAAUUGCCAUCA